GCCGGGAUGGCGGAAUUGGCAGACGCGCAUGGUUGAGGGCCAUGUGGGAGUAAUCCCGUGGGGGUUCAAAUCCCCCUCCCGGCA
rnacentral:tRNA from 1 species